rnacentral:rRNA from 1 species
GUGGGGAAUUUUGGACAAUGGGCGCAAGCCUGAUCCAGCCAUGCCGCGUGCAGGAUGAAGGCCUUCGGGUUGUAAACUGCUUUUGUACGGAACGAAAAAGCUCUCUCUAAUACAGGGGGUGAAUGACGGUACCGUAAGAAUAAGCACCGGCUAACUACGUGCCAGCAGCCGCGGUAAUACGUAGGGUGCAAGCGUUAAUCGGAAUUACUGGGCGUAAAGCGUGCGCAGGCGGUUAUGUAAGACAGAGGUGAAAUCCCCGGGCUCAACCUGGGAACUGCCUUUGUGACUGCAUAGCUGGAGUGCGGCAGAGGGGGAUGGAAUUCCGCGUGUAGCAGUGAAAUGCGUAGAUAUGCGGAGGAACACCGAUGGCGAAGGCAAUCCCCUGGGCCUGCACUGACGCUCAUGCACGAAAGCGUGGGGAGCAAACAGGAUUAGAAACCCGUGUAGUCC